GUCGAAAACCGACUUAAUGCAGUGAGUCGGCAAUAGUCAGAUUGUAUAAACGUCAUUUUGAUGUAGGACAAUUUGUCUUAAUAAGACAUUGGCUUAAAUUCCAUUUUAUCAUUAUUACCGGCACUCUUAGAAGGCUUACAAUGGCAACUUCUGUGCAGUAAACAUUUGGUUAGACUAAUAACUAAAUUAUUAUGCUAAUUAAUGAAUAAUGAAUACUGACCACCGGAUGCUUGCUCAUGCAGUUCGUGCGAACGAAUAGUAGGCCUGUCUGUUCAAUAGUGUAGCUGAACUAUAAGUUGGUGUUGUUGAAUUUGUUUUUAUAGAUUAUUAUUGUUGACUCGUCAUACGUGAUCAUUAGCUCAAAUUGAACAGCACUUUAAUACUGCCAGUGUGGUCUUAAUUUUAAAAGUUGUAGCAAGUAUUGAUGGCAGCGUACGACAAAUAGUGUUAGAAGUAUGGAGCAUCAGUUACAGGUCAAAAUACGAGUAAUUGUGGUCAAGAGAAGAUAAUCCCAGCAAACCGAACUCAUUGAUAUUGUCAUCUAUUGUUAGACAUGUUUGCCAAGAAUCUUCCUCAAAAAAUGACAAAUUUAAAAAAUAUGACAUAAGUCCAGUGGCGGAUCUAGGAAUUCGAAAUAGAGUGGGCCUAAGAAGGAAGGACUUUCACAGAUGGAGAGUCUAGACCAACUCAGCCCAAGUCAUACCUGGGGCUGAGGUAAGACAAUGUAUGAUUAAGUGCCUCGAGAUGGCCGGAAACGGCACUCUCAGAUCAAGAUUGGAAAAAUAUUUUCCUUUCCUUUUCUCCAUUUUUUAAAAAUAAUUUUGAAAAAAAAUUAGGUGGUUGGGGGGUGGGAGCACGGCCCGGCUCGUCCUCCUUGAAUCCAUCACACCCAACGAAUAGAAGAAAAAAAAAACAGUUUAGUAUUUUCAUUUGUUGUUGGUGUUCUCUUUUUUCCCGUUCCAUUGAUGUUAAUUUUAUCAAGUGUGGUUUGAUGAAUUAAUACAAUGUUAAGAGUAAUCAGACAAAUAUACCGAAUUUGUAACUUGGCCAAUGUGGAUUGUUGUGAAGAGGUGUGCUGUUGACACGAAACUAUAUGCUCAAUAAGUAGAUUUUAUUUAGUUUGACAACACAUCGUAGUUGAUACGAUAAAGUUCGGCUGUCAAUCAGAUACUAUCGUUAGAGAUGUAUUUCUAGAAAUUACCAAUUCGGGGAUCAUCCAUGGUGAUCCUGACGGUGUGGAGAUGAUGUCCUAACAGAGAUUCGUGUACCUCUUUUAUUUUUAGUGUGGGAGGAGGGGUGAGUUGUUAAAGAGAUGAGCGCAUGUAAGCUUUGGAUUUUGGA